UACGUAGGGGGCAAGCGUUGUCCGGAAUUAUUGGGCGUAAAGAGCUCGUAGGCGGUCUGUUGCGUCGGCUGUGAAAACCCGGGGCUCAACCCCGGGCCUGCAGCCGAUACGGGCAGACUAGAGUUCGGCAGGGGAGACUGGAAUUCCUGGUGUAGCGGUGAAAUGCGCAGAUAUCAGGAGGAACACCGGUGGCGAAGGCGGGUCUCUGGGCCGAAACUGACGCUGAGGAGCGAAAGCGUGGGGAGCGAACAGG
rnacentral:rRNA from 1 species